ACCAGAGAUAGAGUAGUAACCAUACUUACAGAGAGAGGCAGCUGGAUGCUACAGAAGGCCAACAAGUUUAUACCAGAGAGUAGUGACCAUACUUACAGAGAGAGACAGCUGGAUGCUACAGAAGGCUAACAGGUUUAUACCAGAGAGUAGUGACCAUACUUACAGAGAGAGGCAGCAAGAUGCUACAGAAGGCUAACAGGUUUAUACCAGAGAGUAGUAACCAUACUUACAGAGAGAGACAGCUAGAUGCUACAGAAGGCUAACAGGUUUAUACCAGAGAGUAGUGACCAUACUUACAGAGAGAGGCAGCUGGAUGCUACAGAAGGCUAACAGGUUUAUACCAGAGAUAGAGUAGUGACCAUACUUACAGAGAGAGACAGCUGGAUGCUACAGAAGGCUAACAGGUUUAUACCAGAGAUAGAGUAGUGACCAUACUUACAGAGAGAGACAGCUGGAUGCUACAGAAGGCUAACAGGUUUAUACCAGAGAGUAGUGACCAUACUUACAGAGAGAGACAGCUGGAUGCUACAGAAGGCUAACAGGUUUAUACCAGAGAUAGAGUAGUGACCAUACUUACAGAGAGAGACAGCUGGAUGCUACAGAAGGCUAACAGGUUUAUACCAGAGAGUAGUGACCAUACUUACAGAGAGAGACAGCUGGAUGCUACAGAAGGCUAACAGGUUUAUACCAGAGAGUAGUGACCAUACUUACAGAGAGAGGCAGCUGGAUGCUACAGAAGGCUAACAGGUUUAUACCAGAGAUAGAGUAGUGACCAUACUUACAGAGAGAGGCAGCCAGAUGCUACAGAAGGCUAACAGGUUUAUACCAGAGAGUAGUGACCAUACUUACAGAGAGAGACAGCUAGAUGCUACAGAAGGCUAACAGGUUUAUACCAGAGAUAGAGUAGUGACCAUACUUACAGAGAGAGACAGCUGGAUGCUACAGAAGGCCAACAGGUUUAUACCAGAGAGUAGUGACCAUAAUUACAGAGAGAGACAGCUGGAUGCUACAGAAGGCUAACAGGUUUAUACCAGAGAGUAGUGACCAUACUUACAGAGAGAGACAGCUGGAUGCUACAGAAGGCUAACAGGUUUAUACCAGAGAUAGAGUAGUGACCAGAGUAGUGACCAUACUUACAGAGAGAGGCAGCUGGAUGCUACAGAAGGCCAACAAGUUUAUACCAGAGAGUAGUGACCAUACUUACAGAGAGAGACAGCUGGAUGCUACAGAAGGCUAACAGGUUUAUACCAGAGAGUAGUGACCAUACUUACAGAGAGAGGCAGCAAGAUGCUACAGAAGGCUAACAGGUUUAUACCAGAGAUAGAGUAGUGACCAUACUUACAGAGAGAGACAGCUGGAUGCUACAGAAGGCUAACAGGUUUAUACCAGAGAUAGAGUAGUGACCAUACUUACAGAGAGAGACAGCUGGAUGCUACAGAAGGCCAACAGGUUUAUACCAGAGAGUAGUGACCAUCACAAUAAGACCUCAAACCUCCAGUUGUUAGUCAGGACCUGUUCCCCACCGGAACAGACAAUUCACUAUAAAUAAAUGUUUCUUUUUUCUGUA